UACCUGCAGUCGACGGUGAUAUCAGGGCUUGCUCUGGUUGAUCAGUGGCGAACGGGUGAGUAACACGUGAGUAACCUGCCCCAGACUCUGGGAUAACUUCGGGAAAUCGGAGCUAAUACCGGAUAUGAGACGUCCUCGCAUGGGGAGCGUCUGGAAAGAUUUAUCGGUCUGGGAUGGACUCGCGGCCUAUCAGCUUGUUGGUGAGGUAAUGGCUCACCAAGGCGACGACGGGUAGCCGGCCUGAGAGGGCGACCGGCCACACUGGGACUGAGAUACGGCCCAGACUCCUACGGGAGGCAGCAGUGGGGAAUAUUGCACAAUGGGCGAAAGCCUGAUGCAGCGACGCCGCGUGAGGGAUGAAGGCCUUCGGGUUGUAAACCUCUUUCAGCAGGGAAGAAGCGAAAGUGACGGUACCUGCAGAAGAAGCGCCGGCUAACUACGUGCCAGCAGCCGCGGUAAUACGUAGGGCGCAAGCGUUGUCCGGAAUUAUUGGGCGUAAAGAGCUCGUAGGCGGUCUGUCGCGUCUGUUGUGAAAACUCGAGGCUCAACCUCGGGCUUGCAGUGGAUACGGGCAGACUAGAGUGCGGUAGGGGAGACUGGAAUUCCUGGUGUAGCGGUGGAAUGCGCAGAUAUCAGGAGGAACACCGAUGGCGAAGGCAGGUCUCUGGGCCGCAACUGACGCUGAGGAGCGAAAGCAUGGGGAGCGAACAGGA
rnacentral:rRNA from 1 species